rnacentral:lncRNA from 1 species
UCCUUCAAGAUACUCCAUUAACGAAACGGUGAGAGUUGUCAAGGUUGGGGUCAACUUUUUUAGAUGUAAUGAAAAUAGAAGUAUUUUAAUCAAUCACGAUGAAUGUACUAACUCUGUAUAAGACGACGAAAAUAGAUCGAACAGAUAUCCAUUUUUCCAAAUAUUUGUGUGGUUUAGUUAAAUAGAAAGCACCCUCUUCCUUCACCAAACACCAAUUUGCAGAGAGAUAUGGCCUUGCCUUUCUCUCCCUCUUCUUCCUUUCCAAUAAUUGCAUCCCAAAAAUCCACUCAUCCCAACACCACCAAAUUCCAUAUUACUGAAAGACCCAUUAAUAUUUUCACAGAAAACGCCUUAAAAUUCACAUAUUCCAUUCCCAAAAUCACCAAUUCGACCUUCCUCAACAAAGCCUCCCAAGAGCAAGAAAACACCAGUGUUGCCUCAGAAUCCCAAACCCAGGAAAACCCUCCUGAGGAUAACCGGGUCGAGAAAGAUCAGAGUGAGGGAAUAUCAGAAUUGGGUAUGGAAAUCAAGAAGGCAAUGAAGGAGAGGGAGCAAAAGGAACCUGAUUUCUUGAGUGGGGUGGCAGAGGAAAUUAGGGAAAUUGAGUGGCCUGGUUUUAGUAAAGUGUUGGGAACUACUGGAAUUGUUUUGGGGGUGAUGGCAGGGUCGAGUGUCGUUUUGUUAACUGUUAAUGCCGUUUUGGCUGAGCUUUCGGAUCGGGUUUUUGCUGGAAAGGGUAUACAGGAUUUCUUCGGGUGAUGAUAGAGGAGUUGUGAUCUGCUGGGAGAGGGUAUGCCCUCUUGACCUGCACCUGCCACUUGUUAAAGAAGCAUUUGACUGCUUGAAUUUUUGUUACAUAGUUUCUUAUUUUUAACUUGUAUUCCUCUCUGUCAUUUCUUCUAUGGUUUUUGAGGAAUUUUGGAAUGGCAUCGCCUUAGAUAGAAGGUGUUAGAUAUUUUUCAUCAUUUUGCAUGUGUUUAAUUUUUUGUCUUGCGAAUGAUUUGCCGCCCAGAUUAGUGUUUGUCGCUGUCCAUCUGUUCAUUUUUAACAGUCACUUCCAAUAGACGUACUCAAGGAUUUCAAGGGAUACACCUAUUCAAACAGUUGCCUCAGUUUCUAUAAAUUCUGGACGAAUUCUCAUUUGCAAACAUAUUAAAAACAAUUUAUUCUUCCUUCUUUCUCUUGGCAUCAAUCAGUUAUUUUCGAGUGUCUUCUUGGUUUGAUCAAAUAAUCAUAAUUUGAAUCAAACGACUCCAUUGUAUUCUGAGAGAGAUUUUCUAUCAUACCCCAGUUGUGACUUUGUUGAAUAUGGGAGAAAUAUCUCUUAAAAGAUAACGUUUUUUCGUGCCUUGGAGUUCAUUAACGUAUUCAGAUUUCCCUACAUUUUAUCAACAGAAGGUAGAGAGAGGAGAAUAUAGAGAGUAAAAAAGAGAAGAAAAUGAGAAAGAUCUAGGGUUUUGAAAUCUGCUUGGGGUGGAUGGUGUGGUGGUAUAUAAAUUAAUGUAAUUUUAUAACAAUAAUGUAAUAUAAUUAUUAUAAUUUAAAAUUUUGAUUAUCAUCUGAUUUUUGAUAAAAAAAAAUAAAUUACAAAUCUUAAUUUUGAAAUGGAAAGUUUAAAAUUCUGAUAGGCUGUAAUUUCCAUAUAUCGAUAUUAGUGACGUUACUAAUAGUAAUCUUGAUAAGAAAAUUCUCUUAUCUAAAAAUUUCCAAAUCUAUGACAAACCAACCCAUGAAAUUUUCAUGUAACAUACUUUCAUGACAAAGUUCAUCAAACCUAAAAAUGUUCUUAUUGAUAAUCUCUUUAUUUUCAUACCUUUGAUCACGUAAUUAUAUUUUUUCUAAAAUAAAUUUUUUUUUUUAGGGGAGUAUGAUUUUAUUUUUCAAAGAAUUCACUCUCUCUUUCUCUUUCUCAUCUACCUACUAAUAAAAAAAAAAAAAACAAACAUAACAUUUUAUAGGUUGAAAAUUAAAUUAACCAUACACAUUUAAAUAACAAUUUUCAUUCAACUAAGUUACACGCAAUCAAACGCAUCCUUAGUAAUCCAGUAGUGCAAAUGACAGGAGUGAGAUAGUCUCAACCUUGCUGACAGCCACAGUGUGAGCGUUCAAUUUCUGAGAUAUGGAAUUGGACUCUUUGUAGGCAUCAGUAUACGAGCAAACUCUUGUUCCCUGACCCGCUGGAACACAUCUCGUGAUUUACCUCCUUCAAGAUACUCCAUUAAUGAGACGGUGAGAGUUGUCAAGAUUGGGGUGAACUUUUUUAGAUGUAAUGAAAAUAGAAGUAUUUUAAUCAAUCACGAUGAAUGUACUAACUCUGUAUAAGACGACGAAAAUAGAUCGAACAGAUAUCCAUUUUUCCAAAUAUUUGUGUGGUUUAGUUAAAUAGAAAGCACCCUCUUCCUUCACCAAACACCAAUUUGCAGAGAGAUAUGGCCUUGCCUUUCUCUCCCUCUUCUUCCUUUCCAAUAAUUGCAUCCCAAAAAUCCACUCAUCCCAACACCACCAAAUUCCAUAUUACUGAAAGACCCAUUAAUAUUUUCACAGAAAACGCCUUAAAAUUCACAUAUUCCAUUCCCAAAAUCACCAAUUCGACCUUCCUCAACAAAGCCUCCCAAGAGCAAGAAAACACCAGUGUUGCCUCAGAAUCCCAAACCCAGGAAAACCCUCCUGAGGAUAACCGGGUCGAGAAAGAUCAGAGUGAGGGAAUAUCAGAAUUGGGUAUGGAAAUCAAGAAGGCAAUGAAGGAGAGGGAGCAAAAGGAACCUGAUUUCUUGAGUGGGGUGGCAGAGGAAAUUAGGGAAAUUGAGUGGCCUGGUUUUAGUAAAGUGUUGGGAACUACUGGAAUUGUUUUGGGGGUGAUGGCAGGGUCGAGUGUCGUUUUGUUAACUGUUAAUGCCGUUUUGGCUGAGCUUUCGGAUCGGGUUUUUGCUGGAAAGGGUAUACAGGAUUUCUUCGGGUGAUGAUAGAGGAGUUGUGAUCUGCUGGGAGAGGGUAUGCCCUCUUGACCUGCAC